rnacentral:rRNA from 1 species
GAUGAACGCUGGCGGCGUGCCUAAUACAUGCAAGUCGAGCGAACAGACGAGGAGCUUGCUCCUUCGACGUUAGCGGUGGACGGGUGAGUAACACGUAGGUAACCUACCUAUAAGACUGGGAUAACUUCGGGAAACCGGAGCUAAUACCGGAUAAUAUUUCGAACCGCAUGGUUCGAUAGUGAAAGAUGGCUUUGCUAUCACUUAUAGAUGGACCUGCGCCGUAUUAGCUAGUUGGUAAGGUAACGGCUUACCAAGGCAACGAUACGUAGCCGACCUGAGAGGGUGAUCGGCCACACUGGAACUGAGACACGGUCCAGACUCCUACGGGAGGCAGCAGUAGGGAAUCUUCCGCAAUGGGCGAAAGCCUGACGGAGCAACGCCGCGUGAGUGAUGAAGGUCUUCGGAUCGUAAAACUCUGUUAUUAGGGAAGAACAAACGUGUAAGUAACUGUGCACGUCUUGACGGUACCUAAUCAGAAAGCCACGGCUAACUAAGUG